CUCGGGCGGCAGCAGUGGGGAAUAUUGGACAAUGGGCGAAAGCCUGAUCCAGCCAUGCCGCGUGUGUGAAGAAGGCCUUCGGGUUGUAAAGCACUUUCAGUGGGGAAGAAAGCCUUGGGGCUAAUACCCUCGAGGAAGGACAUCACCCACAGAAGAAGCACCGGCUAACUCCGUGCCAGCAGCCGCGGUAAUACGGAGGGUGCGAGCGUUAAUCGGAAUUACUGGGCGUAAAGCGCGCGUAGGCGGUCUGAUAAGCCGGUUGUGAAAGCCCCGGGCUCAACCUGGGAACGGCAUCCGGAACUGUCAGGCUAGAGUGCAGGAGAGGAAGGUAGAAUUCCCGGUGUAGCGGUGAAAUGCGUAGAGAUCGGGAGGAAUACCAGUGGCGAAGGCGGCCUUCUGGACUGACACUGACGCUGAGGUGCGAAAGCGUGGGUAGCAAACAGGAUUAGAUACCCCAGUAGUC
rnacentral:rRNA from 1 species